AGUGAACGCUGGCGGCGUGCUUAACACAUGCAAGUCGAACGAGAACGGAUUAUAGCUUGCUAUAAUUGUCAGCUAAGUGGCGCACGGGUGAGUAAUGUAUAGGUAAUAUGCCUCUUACUAAGGGAUAACAAAUGGAAACGUUUGCUAAUACCUUAUACUCCUUAUUAACAAAAGUUAAUAAGGGAAAGAUUUAUUGGUAAGAGAUUAGCCUGUAUUGUAUCAGUUAGUUGGUGGGGUAAUGGCUUACCAAGACUAUGACACAUAACUGGUUUGAGAGGAUGAUCAGUCACACUGGAACUGAGACACGGUCCAGACUCCUACGGGAGGCAGCAGUGGGGAAUAUUGCACAAUGGACGAAAGUCUGAUGCAGCAACGCCGCGUGGAGGAUGACACAUUUCGGUGCGUAAACUCCUUUUAUAUGAGAAGAUAAUGACGGUAUUAUAUGAAUAAGCACCGGCUAACUCCGUGCCAGCCGCCGCAGUAAAAC
rnacentral:rRNA from 1 species